rnacentral:rRNA from 1 species
AUUGAACGCUGGCGGCAUGCCUUACACAUGCAAGUCGAACGGCAGCACGGGUGCUUGCACCUGUUGGCGAGUGGCGAACGGGUGAGUAAUACAUCGGAACAUGUCCUGUAGUGGGGGAUAGCCCGGCGAAAGCCGGAUUAAUACCGCAUACGAUCUACGGAUGAAAGCGGGGGGCCUUCGGGCCUCGCGCUAUAGGGUUGGCCGAUGGCUGAUUAGCUCGUUGGUGGGGUAAAGGCCUACCAAGGCGACGAUCAGUAGCUGGUCUGAGAGGACGACCAGCCACACUGGGACUGAGACACGGCCCAGACUCCUACGGGAGGCAGCAGUGGGGAAUUUUGGACAAUGGGCGAAAGCCUGAUCCAGCAAUGCCGCGUGUGUGAAGAAGGCCUUCGGGUUGUAAAGCACUUUUGUCCGGAAAGAAAUCCUUGGCCCUAAUACGGUCGGGGGAUGACGGUACCGGAAGAAUAAGCACCGGCUAACUACGUG